rnacentral:rRNA from 1 species
AUUGAACGCUGGCGGCAGGCUUAACACAUGCAAGUCGAGCGGUAGCACAGGGGAGCUUGCUCCCUGGGUGACGAGCGGCGGACGGGUGAGUAAUGUCUGGGAAACUGCCUGAUGGAGGGGGAUAACUACUGGAAACGGUAGCUAAUACCGCAUAACGUCGCAAGACCAAAGAGGGGGACCUUCGGGCCUCUUGCCAUCAGAUGUGCCCAGAUGGGAUUAGCUAGUAGGUGGGGUAAUGGCUCACCUAGGCGACGAUCCCUAGCUGGUCUGAGAGGAUGACCAGCCACACUGGAACUGAGACACGGUCCAGACUCCUACGGGAGGCAGCAGUGGGGAAUAUUGCACAAAGGGCGCAAGCCUGAUGCAGCCAUGCCGCGUGUGUGAAGAAGGCCUUCGGGUUGUAAAGCACUUUCAGUGAGGAGGAAGGUGGUGAACUUAAUACGUUCAUCAAUUGACGUUACUCGCAGAAGAAGCACCGGCUAACUCCGUG